GGAUUUCUUUCCAUCUUCUUUCAAAUAAAGAGCUCCUUCAAGUUCUGGUACAAUGAUAGAUGUUCCACAGAAACUUUCCUGAAAUUGAGAUUCAAAAGACAUAAAACACAAAAGUGAUCACCAUCUGGACAUCUGAACUUUUCCUAUCUUCCUGGGUCUCUGUGACGAUCCAAUACAAUCUAGAAGCCAUUGUUCACAGACUUGCCCAUUAGCACACUGGGCAGAACCUCAUCCUGUAUCAGAUCUCUAACUGCACACCUCACACUUCCUAUCAAAUCUGGCUGCUGGAGGAGCUUCUCAGAAGAUUUAGAAAUCCAUCUGAGUUCUGUGGAUCAUUCAAGUAAUAAAACACAGAUGAGUGAGCAGAUGAGUUUAUGAAAAGCAAACUAUGUUAUCUAAAGCCACACUUCAUUACAAUGGACUCAAAGGAACAGCUUAAUUAUUUAAAAAAGCUGUUAUUUAGUGAUAAUCUGAUUUUAAAAUGCCAAGUUAAAAUGUCAGGGCAUGUCUCAGAAUUUCCCAUUCUUCUGGGGAGCAAAUCAUUUAAAAAUAGAUAGAGCAAUUUUUUUUUUCUUUUCUACCAUUCUGCAAAAUUAAGCUUACCUCCAGUAAGGAUUCCUUGUUCUUAGCAUUCAUUUUAUCAUUGGAGUCCUUGCUUUCUUUUUUCCCUUUGUUAUCCAAGUAGAAAUUCUAAAUAAAAUAUUAAAAGAUCAGUUCAGCAAGUGUUCAUUCUUAGGCUAGACACUGCAAGGAAGUCAAAGUCGUAGAAGAAGACGUAGGUACACGUAAAUAAACAGGGAACCUUGGUGUAUACAGCUGACCACUAGUUAACUGGCAGGAGUGACUACUGCAUCACCAAGGUAAAAGCUAAACUUUCUCUCCUUCCCUCUUAUAGUGUACAAUCAAUGAGGAAAUGAGAUAGAAAACACUAGCAAAGGAUGUGACAUCAUUUAAUUUUUAAAUGUCAUAGUCAAGAGCAUUGGUUUCAAAUGCUGGAAGCUGAGAGACCCUCAAGGGCCAGGAAGAGCCUCCGACUGGAGUGAAGGUUGAGCUCAUGUCCCAAGUACAAGAGGGGAACUUCUCUGGUGCAUGCCUCACCAGAGCCCAGGGCCCUGCCAAUUGGAGAUUCUAAUUUCUCAAGAGAAGCUUGAAUUCUGGAUUUCUAAUUUUGUGCACUGGGACUUCAUCUGAAGUAUAUACCAUCCUGUAAUUUUAUCCCAUAUGGCCCCCAUCUUAAACCUAGAAGUUUUGUGUCAAACAUUUUUGCACGUCUGUUUCUCCAGCUAGAUUAUCAAUUUCUCAAAGGAGGUGCCACGAUUUGGACCAGUUGAGUAGGAAGAUCAAGCCUGAAUCCUCACUGACAUGGCCCUGACCUGGGAGUAGAAGCUCCCUGUUAUGCUCCUCUAAUCCCAGGACUCAUCAUUUCAUACCAAUGUUGGCAAUUACACCUAAAAAAAUAAUUAACAGCCUAAAUGAAAGACAGGUUUAUUUGGACUUUUCAGCUACCAGCUUGAGACAAAGCUUGAGGAGAAAAAUCUAAGGCACUUCAAUGAAAGAAUUUUCUGGUUAUAUUUGUAUUAAAAUCUUCCUCUGGAAAUAUACUUCUCUAGGGCUUUUUACUCUCACCAUAAAUCUACCAUUAAAAAAAGACUUAUGUUAAAAAUCAUCAAAGGGUCUCAACAACAGAACUUAUACAAGGAAAUUUUAGGUAUUUCAAAAUCACAAAGCCUCCCUUUUUAAGGGCUGAGACAUCAGUAUGGGAACCAGCACAAUGUACUUCUCUUACUCUGGGGGUCAGCAUGCUGAAGCCACUACCUAUGCAAGGCACUGAUCAGAAGACAGAAUUCAGCCAAAUACUGAAAAAACCUGACUAUUUUAAGAAUGCCUAUACUUUAGUUUUGGUCUUUAAAUUGGUUGCAGAUUAAAAGAAUCUAGUUGCUGAAUUUUUAAGAACAUACCAUUAUCCAAAAGAAUUCAUUAAGGAGGAUUUCUAUUUCCUUCUACGAUAGAAUAGCUUACAGUAAACCAAAACUCCACAAAAAAACCCAGCUAGACAAGCUGGAUUAAAAAAAAAAAUCAGUAUUGGGCCUGGGUUUGUGGCUCAGUGGUAGAGUACUUGUCUAGCAUGUGUGAGGCCCUGGGUUGGAUCCUCAGCACCACAUAAAGAUAAAUAAAUAAAAUAAAGGUAUUGUGUCCAUCUACAACUAAAAAAAAUUUUUAAAAUCAGCAUGAAGGCUUUGAAGAGCUAUUGAGGCAAUUAGAGACUCACAGAGUCAAAAUCCAAGACAGAAAGAAACCACAAAGAGAUAUCUAGACCUUCUAAGAGCCAUGUUUCCUCUCAGGGUAUUUGUUGAUACUUAACCCCAGGUGAGAGGCUGGCAAAGGACUUGAAGAGACCCUUCACAAAAGUGGGAUAUUCAAAUGGAUAAUAAACAUUUUGAAAGGUACUUGAAUCACGGGCAUUGAGAAAAUCCAACUUAAAAACCAAAGGAGAUGCCACUACACACUCACAGCAUGGUUAAAGUUAAGAGGAAAAACAAAACACCAAGGGCUGCCAAGUAUCUGGAACAACAGGAAUUUUCUUUCUUUUUUUUAUUCAUUUUUUUAAAUUGUAGAUGGACACAUAUCUUUAUCUUAUUUAUUUAUUUUUAUGUGGUGCUGAGGAUCGAACGCAGGGCCUCGCACAUGCAAGGCGAGUGCUCUACCGCUGAGCCAUAACCCCAGCCCCAGGAAUUUUCAUACAAUGUUAAAGGGAGAGCAAAUUAUAGGAUAUAUUGAAAAACUGCUCAGAGUAUCUGCUAAAGUUAAAAAAAGUAUAACUUAUGAUCCAGAAAUUCCAUACCUAUCUAUCUGCAAGAUAAAUGUCCACAUGCAUUCAAUAAAAGACACGUAUAAGAUAUUCUCACUGGCAUUACUUGUUUAAGCCAUAAACUAGAAACAAGUCAAACUUUCACCAACAACACAAUUAAUAAACAUAUACUGAUAUAGUCACACAAUGGAAUGAAAACACAACGGUGAAAAAGAGCUACUGUUAUAAGCAACAGCAUAAAUGAAAGUUGAGUGGGAAAAAGCUAAACACAAAAGAGGACUGUGUGAUUCCAUUUCAUAUAAAUGUCAAAAAGAGGGGGAAAACCAAGAUAAUAAAGAUUGGAAUAGUGGUCACCUUGGUAAUGGGGAAUAAAGACUGGGAAGGGCCAUGAGGAGCUCCAUUAAUGUUCUGUGUCUUGAUGUGGGUGGUAGUUACCCAGGUGUGUUCACUUCGUACGAUUUCAUACAGUUAUGAUUAUGAUAGAUGCAUUAAUUCACUUGACACUUCGGCAGACGGCAGACAUCCACUAAUACUCAUUCUCCCCUUCCUCUGCUUACCUAUAUAAUAGCCAUGCUGCACAACUCCUGGGUGCCAUUUUUAUGGACUCUAUUUAAAGGUGCUUUGUGGAAGAGUUAUCCAAAAUGGUAGUCAUGAAUUUAAUUCCACAAAUUUUGCUGUGUGUAUAAUUAUUCAUACAAACACCAGAUUUCUCUGCAUCUCUUGUAGCUCAAUAUUAUCAUGUAGCUGUCUUCAGGUUGAUGGAAUGUUAAGCAGAAGUCUGGUUGUGCAUUUCCCUGAUUCUCUCCUCUCUUCCUAUGGACUAGAAAAUGGGAGGUGGAAAAGAUGCAUUGGGCCCAGAGAUGGGAGUCACAUAUGGAGGACGGAAGAGCCAUUCUACCCACUUAUGUCUGGACCAGAAUGUGAUUGAGAAAUAAGCUUCUAGUUUGAUUGAGCCACUGUUUUAGGGGGUCUCUUUAUCACAGCAGCUUAGAUGGUACUCUCAUUAAUACAGGCAAUAAAAUCUGGUAUUGAAGGUCGUUAUAGGCUGAAAACUUGAUACUUUUAGUGUUUGAUAUUUGUCACAAACAAUAGUACUUAAUGCUUUGUUGUCAGUUGACCACCAUAUCAUCUCAAGAAGACCCCAGAAGAGCACAAUAAAGCUUUUUCCCAUGAGGGAGCCGCUUUGGAGUCUCUUAAUUCUGCCCCUAGCGACAAAGGACUUGUUUAUUGUAUCUGUAAAAAGGAAAGUGUCUGGAUGAAUGACCCUGGGAAUCUCUUCCAUCUCUAACAUUCUUAGACUUUUCUAAAACAUGUAAUGACUUUCAUGCCAUGACAGUUGCUCAAGGCCACAGUGGGAAAAGGUUUAGACUUCUCAUACCACAUGACCUGAAGGAAGCAUUUUCAAGUAUGGUGAAUAAUGUUUUUUUUACUUGUUUGCAGGAGGAAAUCACAACAAAUUGUACAUUUUCUAGGUGUUCCCUUUAGUAAUCCCAGCAUCAAUAAGUAACAUAUAUGAACAACAAAGAUAUGAGGAUAUUUUUUUUGGUAUGGGGAUUGAACCCAGGGCACUUAACUACUGAGCCACAUCCCCAGCCCUUCUUAAGGUUUAUUUAGAGACAGGGUCUCACUGACUUGCUUAGGCCCUCACUAACUUGCUGAGGCUGGCUUUGAACUCUUUGAACUUGUGAUCCUCCUGCUUCAGCCUCCCAAGCUGCUGGGAGAUUACAGGCAUGCACCACCUCACCUGGCAGGAUCUUUAAAUAGAAGACAUUAGUAGCCAAGUGCCAUCAAGAUAUAGUGGAGCCCAACAGAAAUGCUGAUAGAAGGGGAGGGUUAGACAACCACAGAUAGGUAUGUUUUGGAUUCUGAAUGAAAGAAAACAAGUGGAUUUCUUUUUCUUUCUAAAUCCUUCAAAGGGCUCUUGGUUUAUAUAGCCAAAGAUUGAGUUUGUAUUCAUUUGAACGUAUUUGUGAUAUUUUGCAAGAUAAUACUGUGGUCUAUACACAGGUGGAAAAAAAAUCUCCUUCAUGCUUUACAUGGUUUAACAAUAUACAGGCCAUCUUACCUGGGGA